AGCUGCCAUUGCGGAUUUUGCCAGCUUCAGCCAGUUUAGUCCUAAGAAGGAACUUCUGACCCCAGACAUCCUGUUUUCUAAAACUAAGCAGUUAAAGCUGAAUGGGAAUUUAGCUCUGUCACAUAGGCAUUGGUUGGGCAACAAAAGCAGGGUAGGGCUCCAGCUAAGCCACGUAGGCACUACGAUGGGCAACAGAAAGGUUGGUUUCUGGGCAAUUCAGAGAAACCAAGGACAGCUACCCCCAGAACUCAGAGUAGCCAACUGGGCUGCUCACAGGAGAUGCCUUAACUGAAAGGUGAUCAGACUCCACAGGAGACCCAGAGAAGAUGUGGAGGGAGCUCAGAGGUUGUCCUGGAGGAGACGUGGAGACAGCUCAGAGGCUGUCCCGGAGAAGACGUGGAAAGAGCUCAGAGGCUGUCCCAGAGAAGACGUGGAGAGCUCAGAGGAUGUCCCAAACAAGAGAGAGCUCAGAGGCUGUCCCAGAGAAGACGUGGAGAGAGUUCAGAGGCUGUCCCGGAGAAGACGUGGAAAGAGCUCAGAAACUCAGAGACUGUCCCGGAGAAGACAUGGAAACAGCUCAGACGCUGUCUGCAAGAAGACGUGCAGAGAGUUCAGAGGCUGUCCCGGAGAAGACAUGGAGAGAGCUCAAAGGCUGUCCACAAGAAGAUGUGGAGAGAGUUCAGAGGCUGUCGUUACUGCUGCACUUGGCUGUUUUUCUUUGGAUAAUUAUUGCCAUCAAUUUUAGUAAUUCAGGUGUUAAAUCACAGUCAAGCACCUAUUUACCUAGUGGGUAAAAUCCUUAAGUAAGUCAUAUUUGGUUGGGAAGAUCAAAGAAAUCACCCAGUCUCCCACAUCCGAAAUUGUGCAGUCUGGACUGUCAGGAACAAAAGUGAAAGAGAGACGUCAUCAAGGCCGGGCGCGGUGGCUCAUGCCUGUAAUCCCAGCACUUUGGAAGGCCAAGGAGGGCGGAUCAUGAGGUCAGGAGUUCAAGACCAGCCUGGCCAAUAUGGUGAAACCCUGUCUCUACUAAAAAUACAAAAAUUAGCCAGGCGUGGUGGCAGGCGCCUGUAAUCCCAGCUACUUGGGAGGCUGAGGCAGAAGAAUCACUUGAACCUGAGAGGCAGAGGUUGCAAUAAGCCAAGAUUGUGCCAUUGCACUCCAGCCUGGGAGACAAAGCGAGACUCCAUCUCAAAAAAAAAAAAAAAAAAAGAAUGACUAAAAUUAAGAAGAUUGAUGAUUCCAAAUAUUAGUAAAGAUGUAGAACAACUAGAACUCCCACAUAUUGCUGAUGAAAAUGAAGAAUAAUACAUUACUUUGGAAAAUACUUUGGUACUGAUUUACCAUAUGACCCCAAAAUCUCACUUGUAGAAAUUUAUACAGGAAAAAUGAAAACAUAUGCUCACAGAAAGCUUGUAUACACAUGCUUAUGGCAAUAAAUUUAUUUAUAGUUGCCUACCAACAAGUGAUGAACAAAUAUAUUUUAGUAUCUUGAUACUACUUUCUAGCUAGAAAAGGAAUACUACUAAGCAAAAAUAGAGGAUGAAGUAGUAAUAUACAUAACAUAGAUGAAUUUAAAAACACCAUGCUGAUUGAAAGAAAACAAUUAUCAAAUACACAGUGUAAUAUUCUAUUCACAGAAAGUUUGAAAACAAAAAACUAUAGUCUCUGAAAGAAAACCAUUGGUUGCAGGAAGGUGGGGAUUCAUUGGCCACAAAAGGGACUGAGGAAACUUUUUAUGGGUAAUGGAAAUAUUUUAUAUCUUGAUUGUGGCACCAAUUAUACAACUGUAUGUACACAUCUGUCAAAAUUCUAAUUGUAUUAUACACAACAUGAGUGACUUUAACUGUCUAUAAAUUAUAUCUCAAUAAAAUUGGUCUUAAAAGAU
rnacentral:lncRNA from 1 species